CUGGCGGCGUGCCUAAUACAUGCAAGUCGAACGGUCUUUCUAUGGAAGCUUGCUUCCGCUGAGAAGAUAGUGGCGAACGGGUGAGUAACACGUGGGUAACCUGCCCAUAAGAGGGGGGAUAACAUCCGGAAACGGGUGCUAAUACCGCAUAGUUUUCUUGAUCGCAUGAUCGGGAAAGGAAAGACGGCCUUUGCGCUGUCGCUUAUGGAUGGACCCGCGGCGUAUUAGUUAGUUGGUGAGGUAACGGCUCACCAAGACGAUGAUACGUAGCCGACCUGAGAGGGUGAUCGGCCACAUUGGGACUGAGACACGGCCCAAACUCCUACGGGAGGCAGCAGUAGGGAAUCUUCCGCAAUGGACGAAAGUCUGACGGAGCAACGCCGCGUGAGUGAAGAAGGUUUUUCCGGAUCGUAAAACUCUGUUGUCAGAGAAGAACAAGUUGGAGAGUAACUGCUCCAGCCUUGACGGUAUCUGACCAGAAAGCCACGGCUAACUACGUGCCAGCCGCUGC
rnacentral:rRNA from 1 species